CCUACGGGAGGCAGCAGUGAGGAAUAUUGGUCAAUGGACGAAAGUCUGAACCAGCCAUGCCGCGUGCAGGAAGACGGCUCUAUGAGUUGUAAACUGCUUUUGUACAAGGGUAAACCUGAAUACGUGUAUUCAGCUGAAAGUACUGUACGAAUAAGGAUCGGCUAACUCCGUGCCAGCAGCCGCGGUAAUACGGAGGAUCCAAGCGUUAUCCGGAUUUAUUGGGUUUAAAGGGUGCGUAGGCGGAUUGAUAAGUUAGAUGUGAAAGGUUGCGGCUCAACUCUGGAACUGCCUUUAAUACUGUUGAUCUAGAGAGUAGAUGCGGUAGGCGGAAUGUAUGGUGUAGCGGUGAAAUGCUUAGAGAUCAUACAGAACACCGAUUGCGAAGGCAGCUUACCAAUCUAUAACUGACGUUGAGGCACGAAAGCGUGGGGAGCAAACAGGAUUAGAUACCCCAGUAGUC
rnacentral:rRNA from 1 species